AAUAUUGUAUCCAAAAAAAAGACAAAUACAAAACUUUUUUUUUAUUAAAUAAAUUAAAAAAUUAGAGUAAAUAAAAAGUAUUUCAGCAUAUCUUAAAGCUUAAUAAACAUAACCAAAGAUAUUUACUCUGCAAGAAAAGUAAAAUAGUAUAUAAGUUAAUAAUGUAGAAUACAUGCACUAGGAAGGAAAGAGAGAAAAAGUAAAGGAAAAGGGACAGAAGCGUGGACAAUGGACCUAACUCACGAAGCGCGCAACAAGAACAUAUGCAAUUGUUUUAGACUUACCUAAUGCCCCAAUUCACAAUAUUUUAUACAUAUGAAGCAUAAAUUCACUAGGUCCCCUCUCCCCACUUUCUU
rnacentral:lncRNA from 1 species